UGUCAUCAACUCACGUUGGUAGCUGGCACCAGUGUUUCAAGCUCUCUUUCUGAUCAACCCUGCUAACCUUGUUUUCUUGUGCCACAGUUCCUGGACUCACUUUGACUUGAAUCUCAAGCUUAAGCUUCUCUCUUGGACUCAUAAUACCUUACUCCCAUCUUGGAAAUUACUCUGUGCCUCACCUGCCUGCCCUUCUUGCCACCGCAAACCACCAGGAACCUCUGGAUCUCAGCUCACUCUGGAUUUACGUUACCCCUCCCUCAUCGCUUACUCUCUUAACCUGCAAGGAAGAAAAGUUAUACAAUAUAAUCACCAUCUACAGAGCUCCUCUCCACUACAUUGAUGGGGAGGAGGUAGAAAGGGUAGAAAGCUUUGAGUUCCUCGGAGUCUACAUCUUGGCCGACCUUACCUGUCCACAAAUGUCUCCCACCAGGAAGCUGCACACCCCCACCAAUCUCCUCCUCCUCUCUCUGGCUGUCUCUGAUUGCCUGAAAAGUUACUAACAGAGAAGUAACACCCACAAGUAAAGAACAGAAACCCAUGUCACUCCAAGAUGGGGAAGAAAAGACUGUAAUAACUCUACUGACGGACUUCAUCUCUGAAAUAUUUUGACUGAUGCAACUGUUAUUCAUGUCGAUGGCAACCUUAGUAUAUGUAUUAGACUGCUAGUAGCAUUAUAGGAACUAUAUUUUAGUUUCAGAGUUUCUCCUUUAUCUUCAGUAUGUUACUCCAUUUCAUACAAAGGAGACAUGUCAAUGGAAACAGCACUCUUGUCAUGCAUGUACACAAAUAGACAGUGUGCACACAUUGCUC